CGGCAGUUCUCCGUGAUUAUUAUCUCGCGCAUCCGAAUUUCCAGACAGUCCUACAUUUUGUUAAACUGUGUAUUGUAUUAUUUUGAACAAUCGAUUUUCUUGUGGAUUGAUCAUGAAUAAACCUAAUAAAAAUGAAUGUGAUUCCGAGGAAGCUGAAAAUCUACAAAUCCAAAAAUCUACCAUGACAAACAUUCCCAAUCUGAAAGGAGAUUGGUUAAAUUUUUACUUGUUAUUAUUGUUUUACAUUCUGCAAGGAUUUCCAGUAGGCUUAUCCGGUAGUCUUCCAAUCAUUUUACAGAGUAGAAAAAUGGUGACUUAUAAAGAGCAGGCUCUAUUUAGUAUUGUGGUUUGGCCUUAUGCAGUGAAAGUUUUAUUUGCUCCAUUAGUGGAUUCAUUAUAUUCAAAACGGAUUGGUAGAAGAAAAUCAUGGAUGAUGCCUAUUCAAUUUUUAAUUGGGAUGAUUUUAAUGUAUACGGCAAACAAUAUUGAUGAUUGGUUACCUGAAUCAGGUAAAUCAAACCUUACUAUGAUCGCAUGUGUGAUGUUCGCCAUUAAUGUCUUGACUGCAAUUCAAGAUGUUGUUGUUGAUGGUUGGUCGUUAACUAUAUUAAAAAAAAAUAACGUGGGUUAUGCUUCUAUGUGCAAUUCUACAGGAUUACCAAUUGGAAUGUUUAUUGGUUCAGUUGGCCCGAUUUUACUGGUAUCCGAAGAUUUCAGCAAUAAAUAUUUUCGAGCUAUACCUAACACAGGUGGUUUAAUAACAUUAAAAAGUUUUAUGUAUUUUUGGAGUAUUAUAUUUUUGUUGAUUACAACAUUGAUUGGUUUAUUUAAAAAAGAGAAGGAUAAUAGUUUUGAAUUGGACUACAAAAAGAUCAGCAUUUUUCAAAAUUAUAAACUAUUAUGGAACAUUUUAAAGAAGCCUAAAAUAAAACUGUUGUUAAUUGCUUUGCUGACAGCGAGAUUUGGAUUUUCUGCAACCGAUGCUGCAUCGAAUUUUAAAUUAAUCGAUGCUGGGUUAUCCAAUGAUGAUAUUAUGUUAACAGUAACCGGCAUGUAUGUUGUACGAUUUAUUGUGCCAUUUUUCAUACCAAAAUCCAUUAUUGGUCCUAAAUGUAUAGAUCACUAUCUUAUAAUGACACCAAUCAAAUUGAUUUGGUGUAUUACGUAUAUGGUUUUGAUUUAUUACACACCGAGCUUAAUAAAUAAUAAUAAAAAUAUAAACAUUCCCGUUUAUUAUUAUUGCUUAUUAGCAUCGAUUUUUGCAGUGAAUGAGGUGCUGCAUUUUUUCAUGCUAGUAGCAUUAUUCGCUUUUUUUAGUCGAAUAAGCGAUCCAAGGUUUGGCUGUACAUACAUGGCAUUAUUUAAUACAUUUUACUUUCUGGGAUGGUUCAUACCAAAUACUUUGGUUCUAAAAUUGAAUGAUUUUCUAACAUUUAGUACAUGUUCAAACGACAUCCAAAACAAUUGUCUUACACCAAAUUUAAAAAACGUAUGUGCCACAAAUGGAGGAAGUUGUAAAGUGUACGUGGACGGCUACUAUAUAACAGUUAUCAUAUGUGUGAUCAUUGGAUUGAUAUGGUACUUUUUGUUUAGAAAUAAACUUAAAAAUUAUCAACCAAUAAGAGUUAAUACGUCAUAAAUCAUUUGACAAAAACAGCGAAUAAAAAAAAGCAUACUUAAACAAUAUUUUUAACAACUAUAAGUAUCAACUAUCAAGUAUAAUCUAUGAUAUUUUAAAAUUGAUUCAAUGAAAUUGUUUUAUUAAAAAUGUUUUUUUUUUUUUUUUGUAAUUUAUUUUUUGUUGUACAAUCUGUAAAAUAUUUUUUUUACAAUAAGUAUUUAUUGAGACAGUAGUCGUGAUCGAAGAAGCCAACCAGUGUUGGGAAAAUCAAGCUACAGGUUACAAUUGGCACAAGCGAUAAAUAUUUAGGAAUACAUAAAAUGUAUAAGGUACAUUUUAAAAUGUUGAGUAUGGUUAAUUAUGUUUUAAAUAGCUUGUAACAUCACCGACUGGUUACCUGAAUUAAGAAAACCAAAUUUAAAAAUGUCAUCUUAUCAAAAUAUUGUGUUCGAUAGUUGGGUUUUAACUAUGCUAAAAAAAUUUUGGCAUUCACUAUGUACAUUUUUACGCUUGGAUUUUUCUCUCGGAUAUGUGACUCUCGUUUUGGCGGUACAUACAUGACGAUGCACAAUUGCCAAUUUUGGAUUGGUUUUAACAAAUAGUUUGACAUUGCGAAUGGUUGACGUGUUAACGUUUAGUAAAUGUUCAAAUGACGAUUUUAAUAACUGUUCUACGAUAGAAUUGAAAAACAUGUGCAAAAAAAAAAAUGGAGAUUGUGUCAGUGUUGUAAAUGGUUACUACGUAGAAGUUGCAGU